GACGAACGCUGGCGGCGUGCUUAACACAUGCAAGUCGAACGGAAAGGCCCUGCUUUUGUGGGGUGCUCGAGUGGCGAACGGGUGAGUAACACGUGAGUAACCUGCCCUUGACUUUGGGAUAACUUCAGGAAACUGGGGCUGAUACCGGAUAGGAGCUCCUGCUGCAUGGUGGGGGUUGGAAAGUUUCGGCGGUUGGGGAUGGACUCGCGGCUUAUCAGCUUGUUGGUGGGGUAGUGGCUUACCAAGGCUUUGACGGGUAGCCGGCCUGAGAGGGUGACCGGCCACAUUGGGACUGAGAUACGGCUCAGACUCCUACGGGAGGCAGCAGUGGGGAAUAUUGCACAAUGGGCGGAAGCCUGAUGCAGCAACGCCGCGUGCGGGAUGACGGCCUUCGGGUUGUAAACCGCUUUCGCCUGUGACGAAGCGUGAGUGACGGUAAUGGGUAAAGAAGCACCGGCUAACUACGUG
rnacentral:rRNA from 1 species